AGCAGGAAGUGGCUGCCAUUGACAGCCGGAAGGCAGUAACUGACAGCCGGAAGGCAGUACCUGGCAGCCGGAUGGUAGGCGGGACCUGCCAUUCGGUGCGAGCCAAUCAGUAUCGACCAACGUGGGCGCAACCAAUCAGAUAUAACUGCACCCAAACGCUUCAGUAAUGGUUGCGAUUGAUCAAACGUUGCCAGAUGCUGUCCUGUUGGAAAUUCUUCUUUACGUGAUCCUGGAGGAGGGGUGAUGCUACAUUACUAAGUCCGUCUUUGGUUUGUUCCAAAUUCAGAAGUCUGCUGUACUGUAUACAGACUCCUUUUGAAAGAGGGCACAAUCCAGCUGGCUUGACUGAGUAUCUUCUUUUACAUAUUCGAUUAGAGGUUUAAAAAGGUGGAACAAAAUGGAGAACAAGUCUAAGCCAUGUCAGGAAUUCAACAAAAUGUACACCCUGCAGACACUGCGACGAGGUUUACAACAACUGCUUACCAGGUCACUGCAGUCACCCGGAUCGAGUACGUAUCCAGACCAGAUGGUGGAUCGCACCUAGAAAGGACCUCUACAGCCCUGAAAGACAUUGGAGACCAGGACAACUAGAGCCCCAGAUACAGAUCCCCUGUAAAGACCUUGUUUUUUCUCCAUUUUGUCACCGGUGGAGUUUUGGUUCCUUGUCGCCUCUGGCUUGCUUCGUUGUGGUCACUUCAUUUACAGUGAUCUCAUUGACAUGAUUCCACAGAUACUAUUUAAACUGAACCGAGCUGAAGGAUGACAUCACUGAAUUGAAUGAUAAACUGCCUUUUAAACUGACUACAAACUGAGUUUACUAAUGUCCUUCUGCAUUAUUGACUGACACACUAAUUUCCUAUUUAAUACUGUAAAGUUGCUUUGCUUUGAUCUGUAUUAUUAAAAGCACUAUAUAAAUAAACGAUGCUUGACUUGA